rnacentral:rRNA from 1 species
UACAGAGGUGGCAAGCGUUGUUCGGAAUUACUGGGCGUAAAGGGCGAGUAGGUGGCCAUCUAAGUCAGACGUGAAAUCCCCCGGCUUAACCUGGGAACUGCGUCUGAUACUGGACGGCUAGAGUUUGGGAGAGGGAUGCGGAAUUCCAGGUGUAGCGGUGAAAUGCGUAGAUAUCUGGAGGAACACCGGUGGCGAAGGCGGCAUCCUGGACCAACACUGACGCUGAGGAGCGAAAGCCAGGGGAGCAAACGGG